CGCUCCCAGCGGGGCCCGGCGGGCGGCGCGGCCGGGCGGGGGGCGGUGCGGCCGGGCACGACGCCCCCGCAACGAGCCCUUCGCGGCUUCCGGGGGGCCGGGGGCGGUGGGAGCGCGGCCGCCUCCCCGCAGACCGGCGGCGGGCGCGGCUCCCGUUCGAGCCGGGCUGUCGGUAGCGGGCAGGAGUUUGGGGUUUUAAUUGCGGGGUUUUGUUGGAUUGGGUCCUCCGGGCGGAAGGUUGAGGUAGGGGGGUGGGGGGGGAGACCUGCAGGGUUAGAUCCCGGUUUGGAAAUUGGAAAUGGAAAGGGAUGGAGGAUUGGGGAUCCGCAUCCCCCGGCUCUGCCUCAGCCUGUGUCCCUUGUGGUCUGCAGGUGGGUGGUGUCCGGCCACGGAGCACAGGGACCCCACAGCCACCUCCUCUGGGGGCACGCUGGGGUGGCUGUGCCGGGGCAGCGCCUGGGCUUGCAGGGUUGCCAGAUGCUCAGCCCUGGGAGCAAAGCCCCCGUGAAACCCCCAGCAGAGCCCUGGUCACACAUGGCUUCCCAGGGCUGGGAGCGACCUCUGCCUGGACAGACAGCAGCCAUCUGGCUUUGUGCCUCUGCUCCCACGGGGCUCAAAUCUGGAAGAUUUGGGCAAGAAGCACACCUUCUGGGGGAGCGGAGACUGCAAAUCUGCCGAGAAAAAACUGGGAUGGUGCUUUUCCAGCGUGUGAGAAACCUCCCCCAGACAUGCCACCCAGCAGGAGGACUUAGGAACACUUCACUGCUUUUCGGUUCCAUGCUUUUGUAAACCUCAGUCCCGAUUUUUAUAGCAAAGCAUCUACUAAAGCAGCCCUGAGCACGCUUAGACACCAGAGCAGCUCUGUGCUGGAUCUGAUGGG